GUGGAGAAGGACGCCGAAGGUGGGGCUGAUGACUGGGGUGAAGUCGUAACAAGGUAGCCGUACCGGAAGGUGCGGCUGGAUCACCUCCUAACAGGGAGACAAUUAAUCGAUUGUGAUGUCUAAGUAAUUAUCUUAGGCCGCAAUCCUGUCACCUUAAGGUCGAUCGGUACCUCAGAUUUUAGUAUUAAUUUUAUAGUUAAUCCUUUGAUUUCAGUUCCUAAACUUGUCUAGGUCACACCCAACAAGGGUUUCUCCUGGGCCAUUAGCUCAGGUGGUUAGAGCGCACCCCUGAUAAGGGUGAGGUCCCUGGUUCAAGUCCAGGAUGGCCCAUUCGUUGUUGGGGGUAUAGCUCAGUUGGUAGAGCGCCUGCUUUGCAAGCAGGAUGUCAGCGGUUCGAGUCCGCUUACCUCCACUGAAACCACCCUGAUAACUAAAAUUCGGGAGAAAAAUUGUUGAUGUGACUUAGUAUUUUCUAUUUGAAAAGAACCUAGCUUCUUAUCAUCUUUUUACAGUUGAUAAUAUGCUGGGCUCCCAUGAAUUUUUUCAUGAGAAUUCAGUAGAACCUUGAAAACUGCAUAGAUUAGAAAGAAUAAAGCAUCUCAUGGAUGCAUAGUUCUGAUUAGAUUUUCAGCUUAAAAACUGAAUCAUCGAUUAUCAGAAUUCAUGUUUAAUUCUUGAGUAAUAGCCGAGCACAAUUGAUUUUGUGAUUGUAUUUAAGGUCAAGCUACAAAGGGCUCAUGGCGGAUACCUUGGCACACA
rnacentral:misc_RNA from 1 species